CCUACGGGAGGCAGCAGUGAGGAAUCUUCCACAAUGGACGAAAGUCUGAUGGAGCAAUGCCGCGUGCAGGAUGACGGCCUUCGGGUUGUAAACUGCUUUUAUAUGGGAAGAUUAUGACGGUACCAUAUGAAUAAGGACCGGCUAACUACGUGCCAGCAGCCGCGGUAAUACGUAGGGUCCAAGCGUUAUCCGGAAUCACUGGGCGUAAAGCGUUUGUAGGCGGAAAUCUAAGUGAGAUGCGAAAUCUUGUGGCUCAACCAUAUAGACGGUAUCUCAUACUGGGUUUCUAGAAGAUAGCAGAGGUAAGUGGAAUUAGUAGUGUAGCGGUAAAAUGCGUAGAUAUUACUAGGAACACCAAUGGCGAAGGCAGCUUACUGGGCUAUAUUUGACGCUGAGAAACGAAAGCGUGGGGAGCGAACAGGAUUAGAUACCCUGGUAGUCCACGCCGUAAACGAUGUGUGCUAUUAGUUCGAGGUAUCGACCCCUUGGGCUGAACAGCUAACGCGUUAAGCACACCGCCUGGGGAGUACGAGCGCAAGCUUAAAACNCAAAGGAAUUGACGGCUGAGACGUGCGAGACGACGACGAGGGAGAG
rnacentral:rRNA from 1 species